rnacentral:rRNA from 1 species
UACGUAGGGGGCAAGCGUUGUCCGGAUUUAUUGGGCGUAAAGAGCUCGUAGGUGGUUCGGUAAGUCGGAUGUGAAAUCUCCAGGCUCAACCUGGAGGGGUCAUUCGAUACUGCCGUGACUAGAGGUCGGUAGGGGAGUGUGGAAUUCCUGGUGUAGCGGUGGAAUGCGCAGAUAUCAGGAGGAACACCGAUAGCGAAGGCAGCUCGCUGGGACGGUACUGACGCUGAGGUGCGAAAGCGUGGGGAGCGAACAGG